rnacentral:rRNA from 1 species
UACGUAGGGUGCAAGCGUUAAUCGGAAUUACUGGGCGUAAAGCGUGCGCAGGCGGUUCGGAAAGAGAGGUGUGAAAUCCCAGGGCUUAACCUUGGAACUGCACUUUUAACUACCGGGCUAGAGUACGUCAGAGGGGGGUAGAAUUCCACGUGUAGCAGUGAAAUGCGUAGAGAUGUGGAGGAAUACCGAUGGCGAAGGCAGCCCCCUGGGAUGAUACUGACGCUCAUGCACGAAAGCGUGGGGAGCGAACAGG